UACGGAGGGCGCAAACGUUGCUCGGAAUCAUUGGGCGUAAAGCGCACGUAGGCGGUCUUUUAAGUCGGAUGUGAAAGCCCCAGGCUCAACCUGGGAAGUGCAUUCGAAACUGAAAGGCUGGAGUACGGAAGAGGGUCUCGGAAUUCCCGGUGUAGAGGUGAAAUUCGUAGAUAUCGGGAGGAACACCAGUGGCGAAGGCGGAGACCUGGGCCGAUACUGACGCUGAGGUGCGAAAGCGUGGGGAGCAAACAGG
rnacentral:rRNA from 1 species